CCUACGGGUGGCAGCAGUGAGGAAUAUUGGUCAAUGGGCGGAAGCCUGAACCCGCCAAGUAGCGUGCAGGAUGACGGCCCUACGGGUUGUAAACUGCUUUUAUACGGGAAUAACGCGCCUUACGUGUAGGGCUUUGCAUGUACCGUAUGAAUAAGGACCGGCUAAUUCCGUGCCAGCAUCCGCGGUAAUACUGCAGGUCCGGGCGUUAUCCGGGUUUCUUGGGUUUAAGGGUAGCGUAGGCCGCAUGUCAAGCGUGCUGUGAAAUGUCCGGGCUCAACCCGGGCCUUGCAGCGCGAAAUGGCGUGCUUGAGUCCGCGGAAAGCAGGCGGAAUUCGUCGUGUAGCGGUGAAAUGCUUAGAUAUGACGAAGAACCCCGAUGGCGAAGGCAGCUUGCUGCAGCGGAACUGACGCUGAUGCUCGAAAGCGCGGGUAUCGAACAGGAUUAGAUACCCCUGUAGUC
rnacentral:rRNA from 1 species